rnacentral:misc_RNA from 1 species
GAUGAAGAACGUAGCGAAAUGCGAUAAGUAAUGUGAAUUGCAGAAUUCAGUGAAUCAUCGAAUCUUUGAACGCACAUUGCGCCCGCCAGUAUUCUGGCGGGCAUGCCUGUUCGAGCGUCAUUUCAACCAUCAAGCCCUGCUUGCGUUGGGGUCCUGCGGCUGCCCGCAGGCCCUGAAAACCAGUGGCGGGCUCGCUAGUCACACCGAGCGCAGUAAUACAUCUCGCUUUGGGCGUGCGGCGGGUUCUUGCCGUUAAACACCCCCUUUUUACCAAGGUUGACCUCGGAUCAGGUAGGAAAACCCGCUGAACUUAAGCAUAUCAAUAAGCGGAGGA